rnacentral:rRNA from 1 species
CGUAGGGGACAAGCGUUAUCCGGAUUUACUGGGCGUAAAGCGCAUGUAGGUGGCUUGACAAGUUGGACGUGAAAGCUCCCGGCUUAACUGGGAGAGGUCGUUCAAAAACUGGCAAGCUAGAGGAUGGAAGAGGAGAGCGGAAUUCCCGGUGUAGUGGUGGAAUGCGUAGAUAUCGGGAGGAACACCAGUGGCGAAAGCGGCUCUCUGGUUCACCCCUGACACUGAGAUGCGAAAGCGUGGGGAGCGAACGGGAUUAGAUACCCCGGUAGUCCACGCUGUAAACGAUGGAGACUAGGUGUAGGCGGUCAUUAACCCCGUCUGUGCCGAAGCCAACGCGUUAAGUCUCCCGCCUGGGGACUACGGCCGCAAGGUUA